rnacentral:rRNA from 1 species
GAGUAACACGUGACUACCUGCCCUUGAGUGGGGGAUAACUUCGGGAAACCGAGGCUAAUACCGCAUAACAUCGCAAGAUCAAAGGAGCAAUCCGCUGAAGGAGGGGGUCGCGGCUGAUUAGCUAGUUGGUGAGGUAACGGCUCACCAAGGCGAAGAUCAGUAGCCGGCCUGAGAGGGCGCACGGCCACACUGGAACUGAAACACGGUCCAGACUCCUACGGGAGGCAGCAGUGGGGAAUUUUGCGCAAUGGGGGAAACCCUGACGCAGCAACGCCGCGUGGAGGAUGAAGUCCCUUGGGAUGUAAACUCCUUUCGAUCGGGACGAUUAUGACGGUACCGGAAGAAGAAGCACCGGCUAACUCUGUGCCAGCAGCCGCGGUAAUACAGAGGGUGCAAGCGUUGUUCGGAAUUAUUGGGCGUAAAGGGCGCGUAGGCGGUGCGGUAAGUCUGUGGUGAAAUCUCCGGGCUCAACUCGGAAAUUGCCAUAGAAACUGCCGUGCUGGAGUGUGGGAGAGGUGAGUGGAAUUCCCGGUGUAGCGGUGAAAUGC